CAUUGUGACGCCUCGGUGUCACGAUUGCUUUUGCCAAAGUUGAUCAAACUUGAUGAUUUGGAGGAAAUAAAAGUCGUAACAAGGUUUCCGUAGGUGAACCUGCGGAAGGAUCAUUA
rnacentral:rRNA from 1 species